GACGAACGCUGGCGGCGUGCUUAACACAUGCAAGUCGAACGGUGACGAUGGGGGCUUGCUCUUGUCUGAUCAGUGGCGAACGGGUGAGUAACACGUGAGUAACCUGCCCCAGACUCUGGGAUAACCCCGGGAAACCGGAGCUAAUACCGGAUAUGACACCAACGGGCAUCCGUAUGGUGUGGAAAGUUUUUCGGUCUGGGAUGGACUCGCGGCCUAUCAGCUUGUUGGUGAGGUAGUGGCUCACCAAGGCGACGACGGGUAGCCGGCCUGAGAGGGCGACCGGCCACACUGGGACUGAGACACGGCCCAGACUCCUACGGGAGGCAGC
rnacentral:rRNA from 1 species